ensembl:misc_RNA Y_RNA Y RNA
UGUAUCUGUGCAGUGGUGUUUACAACUGAUCACAACCAGUUACAGAGUUGUUUCUUCUCCACUCCCACUGAUUCACUUGAUUUGCUUUAA